UGGGGAAUUUUGGACAAUGGGGGAAACCCUGAUCCAGCCAUCCCGCGUGUGCGAUGAAGGCCUUCGGGUUGUAAAGCACUUUUGGCAGGAAAGAAACGUCAUGGGUUAAUACCCCGUGAAACUGACGGUACCUGCAGAAUAAGCACCGGCUAACUACGUGCCAGCAGCCGCGGUAAUACGUAGGGUGCAAGCGUUAAUCGGAAUUACUGGGCGUAAAGCGUGCGCAGGCGGGUCGGAAAGAAAGAUGUGAAAUCCCAGAGCUCAACUUUGGAACUGCAUUUUUAACUACCUGGCUAGAGUGUGUCAGAGGGAGGUGGAAUUCCGCGUGUAGCAGUGAAAUGCGUAGAUAUGCGGAGGAACACCGAUGGCGAAGGCAGCCUCCUGGGAUAACACUGACGCUCAUGCACGAAAGCGUGGGGAGCAAACAGG
rnacentral:rRNA from 1 species